rnacentral:rRNA from 1 species
UGGCGGACGGGUGAGUAGUGUCUGGGAAACUGCCCGAUGGAGGGGGAUAACUACUGGAAACGGUAGCUAAUACCGCAUAACGUCGCAAGACCAAAGAGGGGGACCUUCGGGCCUCUUGCCAUCGGAUGUGCCCAGAUGGGAUUAGCUAGUAGGUGGGGUAACGGCUCACCUAGGCGACGAUCCCUAGCUGGUCUGAGAGGAUGACCAGCCACACUGGAACUGAGACACGGCCCAG